AGAAUCAACGCUGGCGGCGUGCCUAACACAUGCAAGUCGAACGAGAAAGUGGAGCAAUCCAUGAGUAAAGUGGCGACCGGGUGAGUAACACGUGACUAACCUACCUUCAAGUGGGGGAUAACCUCGGGAAACCGAGGCUAAUACCGCAUAAUAUCGCAAGAUCAAAGCAGCAAUGCGCUGGAAGAGGGGGUCGCGGCUGAUUAGCUAGUUGGCGGGGUAACGGCCCACCAAGGCGAAGAUCGGUA
rnacentral:rRNA from 1 species